GUUAUUUGACUGGAGUGAGGUCUCAUGUCUGCUUAUGCGGUGGCUCGCUGCUCAGAACAGGGAGGAAGAGGGUAAUCUGGAAGAGUUUCCUGACCUACUCUGCUGCUGUGAUUAAACAACCACCAGGAAAUUUUGAUGACACUGUUCUCCUGAGCUCCUCCCUUUCCUCGGGGAAGAAAAGCAUUGAAACUACAAAAAUAAAGUGUUAUUUGGCUGGAGUGAGGUCUCAUGUCUGCUUAUGCGGUGGCUCGCUGCUCAGAACAGGAUGGAGUCUUGCUCUGCCGCCCAGACUGGAGUGCAAUGGCGCAAUCUCGGCUCACUGCAACAUUUGCCUCCCAGGAACCAUUGGAGAUACUCAUUACUCUUUGAAGGCUUACAGUGGAAUGAAUUCAAAUACGACUUAUUUGAGGAAUUGAAGUUGACUUUAUGGAGCUGAUAAGAAUCUUCUUGGAGAAAAAAAGACUGGAUCUUUCAUUGUAGUACUUCUGAAUUAACCAAAAUCACAGUAUUCUGAAGAUGAUUCUACAAAGCCUGCUGUUUCUACAAAGGCUGCUGAUGAUUUCUACAAAGCCUGCUGUAGUGUUGCUGUGGCCUCUGCUUAAAAAAGUAGAAAACACAUUGAUGCAGCAUGUUCACCCCAACCUCCCUGCCUAAAGGCUCAGGGACCAUCUUGGAAGAGGAAGGCGCGUGAGAUUGUAAGAGCCGAAUUAGGGGGAUGGAGUGUGGAGAAUAAGGACACUUCAUCUUGGAUGCUCACCUGCCAAAUUGACUUCUGAUGAAAGCCAGCUCCAGAAAUGUGCCUACAGUUACUACUUUCACCUAAACCCUGCCCUUAGUCAAAUCCUUCUCUUCUUCUAAGCAAUCAACUUCAAUUCCUUGUAUAACCCACAGUAUAAAAGGGCUUUUAUACCAUUCUAUCCUAUUGCAUGUAAGCCUUGGGUCUGGGAGGUAACAGUGUGGGAUUCCACCAUCUCAUCUCCCUGCCACCCAAACAUGCCUGCUCUUCUUUAAGCAAUAUUAAAUGUUUGUACUUCAGAAA
rnacentral:lncRNA from 1 species